GUCCUUUAGAUUAGAAUUUAAGGUCUGGUCUGCUCACUGAAAUUUAUUUAAAUAGCCGCAGUAAAUUGACUGUGCAAAGGUAGCAUAAUCAUUAGUUUUUUAAUUGAAAGCUUGUAUGAAUGGUCGGACGAGACAUAAUCUGUCUCUUAUUUAUAAAUAGAAUUUAAUUUUUAAGUUAAAAAGCUUAAAUUUUUAUAAAAGACGAGAAGACCCUAUAGAUCUUUAUAUAAAUAUUUAUUUAUUUUUUUAGGAUUUUUAAUUUUUAGAUAAAUAAUUGUAUUUUGUUGGGGUAAUAGGAAGAUUUAAUCAAUUCUUUUUAAAAUUAACAUUAAUUUUUGAUUAUUAAGAUCCAAUAUUUUUGAUUAUAAGAUUAAGUUACCUUAGGGAUAACAGCGUAAUUUUUUUUGAGAGUUCAUAUCGAUAAAAAAGUUUGCGACCUCGAUGUUGGAUUAAAAUUAAUUUUAGGUGUAGUAGUUUAAAGUUUUAGUCUGUUCGACUAUUAAAAUUUU
rnacentral:rRNA from 1 species